UACGGAGGGUGCAACCGUUGCUCGGAAUCAUUGGGCGUAAAGCGCACGUAGGCGGCUUCUUAAGUCGGGUGUGAAAGCCCUCGGCUCAACCGAGGAAGUGCAUUCGAAACUGGGGGGCUUGAAUACUGGAGAGGAUGGCGGAAUUCCCGGUGUAGAGGUGAAAUUCGUAGAUAUCGGGAGGAACACCAGCGGCGAAGGCGGCCAUCUGGACAGAUAUUGACGCUGAGGUGCGAAAGCGUGGGGAGCAAACAGG
rnacentral:rRNA from 1 species